AUUGAACGCUGGCGGCAUGCUUUACACAUGCAAGUCGAACGGCAGCGCGGGCUUCGGCCUGGCGGCGAGUGGCGAACGGGUGAGUAAUACAUCGGAACGUGCCCAGUAGUGGGGGAUAGCUCGGCGAAAGCCGGAUUAAUACCGCAUACGUCCUGAGGGUGAAAGCGGGGGAUCUUCGGACCUCGCGCUAUUGGAGCGGCCGAUGGCAGAUUAGCUAGUUGGUGGGGUAAAGGCCUACCAAGGCGACGAUCUGUAGCUGGUCUGAGAGGACGACCAGCCACACUGGGACUGAGACACGGCCCAGACUCCUACGGGAGGCAGCAGUGGGGAAUUUUGGACAAUGGGCGAAAGCCUGAUCCAGCAAUGCCGCGUGUGUGAUGAAGGCCUUCGGGUUGUAAAGCACUUUUGGCGGGAACGAAAAGGACUGCGCCAAUACCACGGUUCGAUGACGGUACCCGCAGAAUAAGCACCGGCUAACUACGUG
rnacentral:rRNA from 1 species